rnacentral:lncRNA from 1 species
GAGGGAUUUUUUUUUUCUUUCGGAGUGUGAAUGUGAGCUGUUGCUGCUUUCUGUGGAAUCGGGAAGAGCUUGGCCUUCUGUGUUAAUUGGCUGGGAUGAGAAUCAAAUUGAUAUCAGAUAGGUCUGGAGAGUCAAAGGUAAUGGCUCGUAACUGUAAACACAUUAUUUAGGAGGUAGAGGCAGGAGGAUUGUAGGUUCUAGGUCAUCCUGGGCCACAUGGUGAGUUCCAAGGUAGCCUGGGC